rnacentral:lncRNA from 1 species
CCUUGGCGGCCAUUUCCUCUCUCUGUGCCUUGGUUUCCCCACCGGAAUGGGGCAAUAUCCGUACACGAUGAUAAGCGUGUGAUAAACUGAUAAAGGUCGACCAGUGCCGAAAGGUCCUUGCCUCUCUAGCCUUAGGCCUGGUGCUCCAUUUCCGAAACCUCUGGGCUCUGAGGGACAGAUGAGGGUUUCAGAUCCCGGAAUCAUCCCACUCCCCUCUUCCUGGCCCGUGAGGCCUCCCUGGCCCCAUGCUCCCCCAUGCUCCCCUCGCUCUAGCCUCACCCGCCACUUCCUGAUCCUCACUUGGAGCCCAGUCCUGCCUCAGAGCCUUUGCCCGUGUUUUGCCCUCCUCCUGGUGUACCUCGUUGGCCCUCCCUGGGCUCAGGCUCCUUACGUAUAUGGGGUGACAGUGACGUCCCCCAUAGGGCUGACUGCUGUGAAUCGGGGCCUGUAAGCAGGGAUGGCCUUGUUGUCACUUUCCAAUGUGAGGCCUGCCAAUGCUGGUUUCCUGUUCUGGCCUCAUACUGACCCGCAGCUCUACCCCGUGCCUGUUGAUUCUCAGAUGACCCCCUGGCUGGGGUUUCCCGGAAGCAGAGUCCCGGAGGGGCUUGUGACUGCCUGGGGUCACACAGGGAGGCAGGGCUCGACACCGGGACCGCCUGACCCUGUGCGCGAGGCCCAGCCCCAAACUCACAGAGUCCAAUACCCCCACAGGCCAGCGGAGCCUGCACCACCGCGGAGACACCCUGGAGACACUGGUCCUCCUGAAUCCAUCAGACAAGUCCCUGUGCGACGAGGAGCUCUGAAGGAGAUAGAGCCAGACACAGAUACACUCUUCUCCAUGGCCUUGAGGCUGGGCCAGAGAGAGAGUGGGCUCCAGGGAAUCCAGAAAGGGUAUGGUGGGCUUCUAGGAAGAGGAGGCCCCGGAGCCUGGCUUUGUAGGAAGAGCAGCAGGAAUUUGUUGCGGGAAGGGUGUUGGGCUCAGCAGGAGGCCCCGGAGGGUACCCUUCCAGCUUCUAGUUGAGUACUGGGGUGGGGACAGGGAUUCGGGUGGUUGUAUGUAGAUUUGGGGCUGGGAGCCGUCUCAAAGCAGGGUGUAGGCCUUGUCACGGCACAGAGUGGGGCCUUUAACAGUCUCCCCCUUCCUCAGCUCCGGAACCUUCUGCUGGACCCUGCCCCUCAUAAGCUGCUGGUAUUGGCUGGCCCUGCCUGGAAGGGACAGGGGAGCUGCUGCUCCAGACGGGGGGCUUCUCGCCCCGCCACUUCCUCCAGGUCCUAGGGGACAAAGAGGUAAGCCACCUCCUCCUCGUCUUGCUUCCCCUGGCUCUGAGUUCGGGCUGUGCGGCCCUAGUGACCUGUCCCUCUCUGCACCCCAUCCCUUCCUCUGUGGAGCAGCAGCGGUGACACAUGUCCCUCCCAUUCUCGGGCCCCAGUUCCCUCACCCACGACGGUGUGUGGUUUGAGGCUAGGCCUGUAGAUCAGCAGACAUCCCAGAGACCUCGAGUGGCACCCCAGCUUCCAGGUCCCAGCUGGGUAGGGUCCUUUCUAAAGUCCUUCGUCCGGGUGUGGCAAAUGAACAAAGCCGGCCGAUAAACCACCUUUUUCCAUUGUAGAGAGUGAGGUGACGAUGGUGAGCUAAGAAGCAGAGGUGGGGAGCAUGGAAGGUGUCCCUGGAGGGAGCUGUGCUGUAGAGAACAGCAAGUGCAAAGGCCUUGGGGCAGGGAGAGUGAGAGGGGAGGGGAGGGGAGGGAAGCAGGUGGUGAGUCAGGAGCAUGUGUCUCUGCGACCGUGGGGAUGGCUGAGUUUUGUCGUAAUGGUGACGAGGGUCGGCCAAAGGACUCUCCCAGCCCCAGGAAUCAAGAUGGAGGGGCCCUUGCCCACUAUUCCUGAGGCGCUGGGUGUUGCCCGGCUCCAGGGGCUUCUUAACCGUCACCCCCGCCCCUCUGUAGAUCCGGGAUCUUCUGGCGUCCACACCCCCACCUGCAGACCUGCCGAAGCUCACCAUCACCUGCCCAACCUUCGGU